GGGGGCUUGCCUAAACAUGCCUAAGGUGAAAAAUUCCAUCCUUUAACACAUGCGCAGUAAGGGAAAUAAAUCAGUGUGGAGUGGUUCAGACUAAGGGCCCUCAUGUGCACUGGAAGAAUGGGUGGAGCCACCAGAAAUUCACGCCUUAUGCAGGGGAGACACCUGGCCUCUUCAAUUCAUGUGGUAGCCUAGUAUUCAAUUUGUGAGGUGGAAACCUGUGUGCAGGAUCCCUCUUUUUGUGGAGAACUUUCCUUUUGCUUAAUAAAUUCUGUGCUCCUCACCUUUCAAUGUGUCCAUGUGCCUAAUUUUUCCUGGUCGUUGAGACAAGAACUCGGAUUUAGCUGAGCAAAGGAGCAAAAAAUCCUGCAUCAUUUUGGUGGCCCAUAUGGGGACAUGAGGAAGGAUGGAUAAUUGUGUUCCCGUAUUCCAGGACACUUCCCUCAGAUGUAUCCUCCAAACUGAGAAAAGUUAAUUUCCCAAACCUUAAACUGGUUGGCUUAGAAUUGAGGUCGGGGAAAGGGAAUCCAGAAGCCUGACAUGCUGGCAAAAGGGUAAAAGUUUUUUUUUUUUAACUAGUUGGACUUUUAUCUUCUCUCUCCCUGUGCAAACUGGUGCAAGUAAUGAUAAGGAUCACUUUUUAUAUUCUCUGUAAAGUUUUGAUUAAUGAAAAAGAAUUUAUGAGGUUGGUCUUAAGCUCUAGCCAAUCUGGUAUGCUUUGUGUGUCUUCAUUGAGGCUUGGUGGUUUCACUUGUGAGGUCACUUUUGGUAAAGUUCAAAAGCCAGAAGUAUUGGCUGCUUGGUGUUGCCAAAGGCAAUAAGGAAUUUAAAAUGAUUUCCUUAAAGAGCAUGCAACUUAAUUAAAAGUGAAUAUCCAAGUUAUAGGUAUAUUUAAAAGGCCUUUGUUUUUCUCUUCUUGGAUCUUAUUUUGCUGGAAAAAGGUUUUUUCUCAGUUAACUGAAUUGCUUUUCUCCUCUUUGUCUUGCCACUCAAUGCAUGCAUAGUAGGCCCUAAGAUAACUUCUAAUGCCAUGGGACUCCUUGGGAAAAACAGAAAAGGUGCCACAGAUUCCAUUUUAGGAGAAACCUGUUUUGCUUAUGGAACCCCAGGAAUUAGAGGCAGAUAGAUCCCUCUCAAAAUCUGUUUUUGUCUUCCAGCUAUGCCUAUUUAUUAGGCUAUAGAAACUGCAUGCUUUCCUAGUCCUGCCCUUAAUGGGCCCCACCCAGAGACCAAUAAUUCAACUAGGAGAUUGGCAAAUGAAAAAUUUUAUAGCUACUGGAUCUUCUUCUAUCUGCGUAGUUAUAUAGGUGUUGUGUGUGAUGUCUAUAACAAAAAGAGCGCCAAUUAAUUGUCCUAAAGAAAAAUAAGUGAUUAGAUCAAAUAUUUUUUGAGGGAAAAAUAAAAGGUUUAAUGCCUUUUACUUCAUGUGACUUUAAUCUUUGAGAAAUAAAAACAGUCUUAAUGAUUAUUGGUAAAAUGCAAAUGUUGUUAAAAUGUAAAUAGGUGUUCUAAAUUAUACAGCUCAGAUCCUACGUUUGCUAAAUGUUUUAAGGUUAUAAAUUGCUUCUUUAGCUGUUGAGAACUGUUCCACUUGCCAGCCUCACAAUUGCUAAGGCCUGGGGACAUGUGGAAUUAACCACACCCUUAACUAUGCUGGAAGGAGUCAAACUUUAUUGAUGCCUAGUGCAUAACUAAAACAAAUUGCCAAAUUUUACAUUAAAAUUAAAAAUUGGUAAGAUAUACCAUUAUAACAUGUGAUUGAGACCACUGAAAAUAGAUUUACAUGCAAAGUGUGUAAGAACAGUAAAAUGUGUUUUUAGUAAAAGAUUGUAAGACAGCAUGGAAAUGUAAAUUUUUGCCUAGGGUUAAAGGAUUGUUUUAAGUUAGGUAAGAUGAAGCUAAAGGUUUAAAAAAGUUAUGGAAAGUUUCUAAAAAUUAAUCUUGCAAAAGAAAUUCUGUGUGUCAACAUUGACUAAAUUCAAAAGGGUAUUAUAUGGUUUUUCUGUAAAUUGAUCAUUGAAAUAAAAGCACAACAAGGUUUUCUUAAGGUACUAACCUGCCCUUUAGCAAAAUUUGUAAAGGGUUAUAAAAGAUUUAUAUGAAUCUCACCUCAUGGUCAAACUGGUUAAGACUGGAUAGAAUUGUCCAUAAGGUUUCAUUUAAAAAAUUGGGUUGACAUUAAUAGUAAACUAAUGUAAGGGUAAAAGUUGACGUUCUCUAACUUGUACAAGAUUUUAAUGUAAUAGUAAAGAAUAAUGAAAGAUUUUCAUUUGCCUUGCAGAUGGACUCCUAAGGAAAUGAAAGAGAAGACAGGAGACAAAUUGUUAGGAAAAGCUAAGUCUUCCCUCUUAAUGAGCAAAGAUUUUUGCCUGGUUUAAAAAUUUUUGUGAUGUAAUUUUGGCAAAAUAACUAACUGAUGGUAAUCUGGAAUUCUAUUUCAUAGCAUCAAGUGUUUUAAACCACUAACAUAUUUAAUAGGCUUCCCAAAACCAAAUUUUGGCUUCAAGUUGUCCGUCCUGACCCCUAGUUUUUGGAUGCUACAGACGGCCCCUGAAGCAUCCAAAGAGGGUAGACAGGAUUACCUGAUGUCUUUAGGUACAUGGGAUUGCCAAAAUGAUGUUUAAUAUUCUUCAGGUUAUAUUUUAGUGAAUAAUAUUAAUAUCUGUUCCAAAAUAGUACAGGAUUUUAAAAAUUCUAAUGUAUGAGUAUAUUUAUGAAUCACAAUUCAGGGUGUUAUAUUAAGUUAUUGUAAACCACAGAGAUAACCAAAUUUCUUUGUCAAUUAUGUUUUUGACUGUAACUACCCUGGACAUUUUGUUAUUCAUAGACAAUUGUUGUCUUGGUUUGAUCCUCUUUAAACGAUGGUAUAUAAUAAGCUAUAGAACUUUGACAGGUUCUCUCAAAUGCAGGUUACUGAUAACUUUGUAAAUUGUGACAUUGGUAUAAAGGAAAAACACACAGGGCUAAUGAAGAACUGAAAUGUUUAGAAAUAUCAAUACAAGAGUUAACUAAAAGGACUAAACUAAUAGAAAACUGAAGUAAUCUUUUUUAAAACUUUUGCUUAAAACAUUGCUGAUCUUUGUUUUGUUUUUCAGAGUCAAGGAAACUUUUAUUUUGAGCUAUUUACAGUCUUUAAUAAUUGAGUAAAGUAGACUCCUGUGAACAAAAUUUGGAGCAUGUUUGUUUCUCUUUGCAUGGUUCCUAUAGAAUUUGGAAACUAUCUGUGAGUAUUCUUAUGGCAAUAUGGUUAUUUUCAUCAGUGCAAUAAGAAUCUAUUUUCUUUUGCAAUAGGAUGCAAUUGGAGAAGCUGGUUGUUCUACCAAGGCUUUGACUGGAAGGGUAUACUUUCCUUUAAGGAAUUGAGCUUGACUUGUGGAGCUGAUAAAAGCCCCUUGGGGAAACUGGCCUCAUAUCUUGUCUACACAGUCCCUGUACAGGGUUAUUAAUCUGUAGUGAGUAAAGAGUGUCACUUUCUAAUAGGCCCAAGAACCCCAUAUUCUUGGGAUCCCAAGAGGAGAAUAAUUCACUCAACUCAUAGGUAUUUGAGGGGACAAAUCCAUGGCUGGGCUUGGUUUUUAAAAGUCCUAUCUGAGAUUCCUUGUGGAACAAAGUUCUAUCAAAGCCAAUUUAAAAAGACUGUAAAAAUAAUUAUUUUUGCUGCACUUUAUGCAAGUAAUAAGGCCAAGUAUAAGACUAAAGUUUAUUUUUGCAAACAACUCAGUCCUAUCAUGAUUUGUUUUUAACAAAAAUGAGGACUGAGAAAUUAUGUUUCAAGACUUAUUAUACAUUUGUCAUUAAAUUCUAGACUCAUUAGUUGUUGUUAAGUUUUUCACCUACAUUUUAAACUAACCCUGCUUAUUCCUGUGAACCAACCAGCAGUCUCCAACUGCAGCUCAGAAGAAACAAAAAGAGAUGGGUAGUAUAAAAAUCUGGAUAAUAUUCUAGUUCUGGGAAAUUAUCCUGCAGUUUCUGCCAGGUGAUGGGGGUAAAUGGGGUGCCCAUAACCUGGAGGUUUCUUUUUUUGGGAAAAUAAGACCAAGGGAGCUCACCAAAGCCAAGCCCCAUGCACCCAAAUCUUAGCAGGUGUAACUAUAGCCACCAGUUAUCUGGGCAUGCUGGUAGCCUUGGAAUUUUUGAGCUCUCCUUACCUUUACCUUUUGUUUUGUUUUGAUACAUGUCUUCUAAUAACCUGGUUUGUCUCUUCCUGCCUUUAGGCCAUUGAACUCCAAACAAUCAUGCAACUAGAGCCUCAAAUGAUGGCCCCCUUUUACCAGAGACCCUUAGAUAGGCCUCUGAGGGAGAUCUGACUGCUGUUAUUUGAAAACAGCACCCCCUGUCAGCAGAAAGCAGUUAAGGUCAAUCAUCAUCCUUAUCCUUAUUCUAAUGGCUGUUAGAUGUACUUCUUUAGAGGGGGGAAUGAUACAGGCAGGAGACAGCCAAAUGCCUAGGCAGAUAAGGAAGGGUACCCAGAGAGUCUCCGACCCACCCAGGUCAUUGUGCAGAGGGGGCUUGCCUAACCAUGCCUACGGUGAAAACUUCUGUCCCUUAACACACGUGCAGUAAGGGAAAUAAAUCAAUGUCAAGUGGCUCAGACUAAGGGCCCACAAGAACACUGGAAGAAUGGGGUGGAGUCACCAGGAAUCCACGCCUUAUGCAGGGAAGGGACCUGGCCUCUUCAGCUCAUGUGUAGUGGCCUGGUAUUCAAUUUGUGAGGUAGAAACCUGAAUGACGGACCCCUCUUUUUUAUGGAGAGCUUUCCUUUCACUUAAUAAAUUCAGCCCUCUUCACCUUUCAAUGUGUUCACUUGCCUAAUUUUUCCUGGUUGUGAGACAAGAACCCAGAUUUGGCUGAACUAAGGAGCAAAUAAAUCGUACAUCACCAGGCUCUGAUUGUGGUACUUUACAUAUGUUAUCAUAUGCAUGGAUAAAUUUCUUUUAGAAUUGCCAUGGUAGGGAAUUCACUAGCAGCUGGAAGGAUGGUAUUGAUCAGUGGUUAUCAAACUUCAGUAUGAAGGACUUGUUAAAACAUAGAUUGCUAGAUCCCAUUUCCAGAGUUUCUGAUUUAGUAGGUCUGCAGAGGAUCCCAAGAAUUUGCAUUAUUAACAAGUUCUCAGGUGAUACUGAUGCUGCUGGUCCAGAGGCCACACUUUGAGAACCACUGGUCUAGAUUAUCUCCAACUUUCAUUCUAAUGCUAAGAUUCUGUGUUUCAAUAAUCAUCUUAACUUUUUUUCAUGAGAGACAGAUCUCUACUGUCUUGGGUCAAGACCUUAACACAGGAAUUUUUAAAAAAUCAUAUCAUUGAAGAAUACAGUUUAAUCACUUAAGCCACUAUACCUACUUUUCCCUCACUUCUUUCUUAAAAUGCUGUUUUUUCCCCUUUUUACAAAAAUGCUGGGUUUUCCCUUUUUUUAAACAGAGUUAAAAUGCUUUAUUUUAUAAUUGGUUAGAGGAAAAAGCAAACUACUUUUCCUUUGCCUCGUUUCUUCAUCAUUAUACAAUUUUGGACACUGUUAUUGUUAUCUCCCAGGAAAUUACAUUGGAAAAACAUACCUAAUGCUGUAAAGUAAAUGAUCAGUAUUAAGUCAUGAGCAUAUUGUUACAGUGUUUUAAAACUCUGGAAAGAUGAAAUUUUGGCUUAAGGUGAACAUGGGAGUGGGUGUUUGAUGAUGAAAAGAUGGUGUGUGUGUGUGUGUGUGUGUGUGUGUGUGUGUACAUUCCACAGAAGUGUAAAGUUUCAUCCUUAGUUGCUUCAGAUGACUUUUCCAUACUAUUUUUUAACAUUUUCAUUAUUUGGAUUUACAGCACCCCAGGGAUCUUUAGCUAUUUCAAAAGGUGUCAUGCAAUUCUGAAAAGUUCCUCAGAAUAACAUUUUAAGUUACUUAAAUUGAAAAAAAAUACAUAUUUGCUAUACAGACAUUUUCUAGUCUGGUAAAAGAGACAAAGAUAAAUGUUCACACUUGAAAUAAACAAAAUAUCUGGAAAUUGCUUAUAGGGUAUUUAAACUUCCAUUCAAUGCUGGUUCCCAAAUGAAUUACAAAGUGUCCUAUACCAGAGUCUUGGCAUCUAAAUCAACAUAAAACACCUGGCACAUUUUGAAUGAAAAAAGAACUUCACAUUUUCAAGCAGUUCUCAAUUAUCUCAUUAAUAGAUCAUCUGAAACAGCUAAAAGCCCUAAUGAUUAUUUUUCUUUAAUUUGAGACUGUGUUUUUGUACUUACAGGUGAAGAGCUAUUUUCCUGAUGUCCUAAGAAUUUUAUUCAAUUAAUGUUAUAGGUGCCACUAGAGGAGCUGGAAGGUGUUCCUGGUCUUUUGCAAAAGAAAGCUUUCUUCUCAAAUCAAUGCAAAAUCUCCUUCUCUUCUAACUAUCCUAGAGCUGUGGGGAGGAGGCAGAGAGUGUGUGGAUUUGAAAGGGCUUCUCGACCUCUAGGUAAAAAGAAAGAGCUUAGAUAUUAACAUUGUAAUUACAUCAAUUAGAUGCUAACUUUAUUUGGUUUUCAAAAAUAAUCAGGCCCCUGCUAAUUGUGUGUAUAGAGAAAGAAAUGAGUCCACAUUCUUUGUAAACACUAAGUACACUUUUUUGUUCUCUAUCAAUGAGCAGCAGGCAGCAUGUGGAUCUCAGAUAUCUGAAGACAGGGCAUAUGAGCUGAUUAAAUGGGCUGGUAGGAAAGGUCUGAAUUCAGAGGUUAGCACUGCCAACCCUCUGUUCCUCCAGUCCACCCCCUGUAACCAGCUCCCACUGGCUUCAUCACGGCUGCCCAAUUUCUUCCUACUCCAGUGUUUCUCAACCCUUUAAAUCAAUGCCAACUUUUCAUAAAUACAAACAUCUUAUUCACACUUUCCCCAGAAAUUCUAACACGUUCCUCAGGAUUAGGGGAGUGGAAACUUCAGUUAGGAAACUCUGUAUUUUCUUUGUAACCCAGCAGCAAAAACAAUGUGGUUGUGUUUUGUUUUCUGAAGUUGCCAUUAUAAAAAUAAUAGUUUUGUUAUGUUUUUAUAAGAUAAAACUAAAUUAUAAAAUUGAACAUGUCUUCUCAAAUUUUUCACUUGCCUCCAACCACCCUCCACUUCCCAUAGAUUCUAGUAUUUCUCUAAGAGCCCAUUCCUCAAGUUAAAAAUUGUUGCUCUAAUUUCUACAUCAUGACCAGGACAUGCUGUAUAAUUUGUGGGGCCUAGUUCAAAAUGAAUAUGCAAGGUCCCUCUUCAAACAUUAUUAAGGAUUUCAAGAUGGCUACAGUAGAGGAUUAAACCAAGGCUGGGACCUUUCUAAGCUUGGAGUCCUGGGUGACUGCACAGAAUACAUGCCACAAAGCUGUCCCUGAUCAUGACUUUUUAGCUUCUGCUAUUCCUGUCAUUGACUUCAUCUGUGUGUUUCCUAAUUCUGAUUCCCAAGAGCAAGAAUCGGAUUGGCUAAGAUAAGCAUUUCAUUCCAGAAGUUUUACUGGUUGCUGGCAGGCAUAUUCAUUGGAGAGGUCCCUUGGUCAGUCAACUAUGUCAGAACCAAACAGUCGUGUGUGAUCAAGGUGGGGGAUUUGAAUGGGAGUAGAGAAUGGGUCUACUACUACAGUACAUGGCCACCAAUGUAGCCAUGAGAGUGGACGGGGCAGUUUUCUUAGGAGUGGACAUGGGUAGACAGGCAAUCACUGACACUGAAUACAAAAUAUAAAUAUACGCAUUUCCAAUUUGAGCCUGAUGUCUGUGUAAAACGGAGUAAUAAUAUUUCAGAGGCUAGUUUAUGGGGGAUAGAUGAGAUAGUGACCUAAACAAAUGGAUGUAAAACCCCAAGAAAUCAUUAUUACCAUUCAACUAAGGGAGUGCAAACAUAGUGGAACCUGAUUUAAUAUCUCAAAUAGUCCAGCACUCAAAAAUAGGCUGGUAACACAUAGGCCAUCAGGGUGUUGUCUUGUGGUGCAUGCAGCAGGAUGACUAUUACUGUGAACUAAGCAACACAGAUGCCAUCUUCUGAAGACAAAUAGACACAAAGGAUUGUGUCUUUGUUCAUAUAUACAAAGAAAAUUGGCACUAGAACUGGAUGAGAGCCAAGGGACAGUCUGUUUGAUAGGCUGUGGCUUGUGAUAGUCCUAAUCUGUUGAUGAAAUAAUGUGUUUCCUUCUGGAAAAAAGGAAUUUUCUAACGUUCCCCUAAGAAAGGUUUCAGCUGCCCUCAGCUCUGUCAGGGACUAGAAGUGAUUGUCCUGUUCUGGGUUAUUAUCACUUUGAUCACACCAAUUCCCCUUUUGGGCUUAAAAAACUCAGUCUCUUUCUGUCUCUCUCUCUCUCUUUUUCUCUCUCUCUCUUUUUGGAGGAUUUUUUUCGAAUCUGUAUAUCUUUCUAGUUUAACUAGAUACAGAUCUAGUCAUGGGUUUUUACCCCCAGGCUCUCCCUUUUGUCAUCUUUUAUCCUCCUCUUUCCUUUGUCCCAUUUAAAUUAAAUUUUAGAAUUUAUAUAAGAAUUUAAGUUGGUCAUAGUAAAGAUUUUGAAACAUUAGGGAUUUUGAAUUCCAAUAGUGUUAUCAGUAGCUUUUAAAGGUUAGGAUUUUCCUUUUGUAUGUGUCAUGAGUCUAUAUGUGUGAGACUGUGACACUGUGUGUAUGUAUUUAAAGAAUAUUUAAACUUAUGACAGUAAAAGAAAAAGUACAAAUUGCAAAUAUCAAGCGUUACGUCAAAUAAAAACUUCCAAAACAGUCCUAUGUGACAAAUAACACAAACCAAAUUAAUUAUUAAAAAGAAUCUUUUGUAUCACUCAAUUCCUAGAAAGAAUCAGGAAAGUAAAAGUCUAAAAAGCAGUGGUUUGAAGAAAAACAGGAAGCCUGCCACAAAGCAUUUUGAGUAGGUGAAUGAAGGUUAUUAGUUAAGCUGGGGAUGCCUGCUUUCCCUGCUCUAGCAGUCACAGACAGAGUGAGCAUGCCUCUGCAUAAUCCUAUUAUGUACAGGGUGCUGCACUUGGCCUUCCUGGUGACUUACAUUUGCCAGAAACACUACACUUCAAACACAUACCAUACAGGCAAUUACAACAGGUUUCCAAAGAUUGAUGGCAGCCCCCAAAUGAAAAGAUUCCACUAGCUACCCUCUAAAUCCUCAUAUGAAGAAUAUGUGUUUGUGUGUGUGCCACUAUGUGUUCAUGUAUUUAGCCAGCAUAAUGUAGAAAAUUGAUUUCUUAACACCUGAUUCUAGGCAGAAGCAAUUUCUGCCCAGAAUGUCAGCCACUUUUUAAAAAAUAACAUCAAGCCAUUGCACAAAUACAAAAUCACAUACUUGGAGAAAACGAAAUUAUACACAUCCUUAGAAUAUUACUCUUUCCCUUUCAUCCUUCAAAAAUUAAUUUGGAUUUUUAACUUUCCAUCCUGGUCCAAUACUGUACAACAAAGAAAGUAUGGAUAAGAAAAGUAAGAUUUCAGAAAUGUGGUAAGGAGUGGAGGGAAAUGCCUUCAAUAAUUCUCAGUGAGGGUGUAGGAGGACUUCUGGCUCACAGAUGUUCCAGUGCUCUAAGGGGUUCAUUGGGAGAGAAUAUCACCAUAGGUUUGAAAAACUAUUAAUCCCACCAAGGAAAAAAAACUUCAGCUUUUGAGCCUGUUAGCAAAUUAUAGUUAAUAAAAAUAAAAUUUGUGGCCUGGCACAGUGGCUCACGCCUGUAAUCCUAGCAUUUUGGGAGGCCGAGGAGGGUGGAUUGCCUGAGCUCAGGGGUUCAAGACCAGCCUGGUCAACAUGGUGAAACCCUGUCUCUACUAAAUACAAAUUAGCUGGGCUUGGCAGCAUGUGCCUGCAGCCCAACUACUCAGGAGGCUGAAGUGGGAGAAUUGCUCCAGCCCACAAGGCAGAGGUUGCAGUGAGGUGAGAUGGUGCAACUACUACACUCCAGACUGGGUGACAGAGCGAGUCUCUGUCUCAAAAAUAAAAUAAAAUAAAAUAAAAUAAUAUAAAAUAAAAUUUGUAAAUAGAAUACACCGAAAUAUAUUCUGUGAACAAAAGAGGACAAAUUAAACCAAGAGAGUUCAAUGUACAAGGUAUGAUUUUGAAAUUAUACAAUUGUACUUUUAAAUCCCUUGACUUUUGCAAAGAAUCUUGAUGCAGCAUAUAUUUUUAUUAUAUAAAUGUCUAUUUUGCAAUAGGAUGAAAUAAAAUUAAGAAGACCUAUGAUAAUGCAGUAUAUAAAUUUGGCAAAACACUUGAAUAAUGAAAAAACUUAUUGGUGAGUUUUGUCUCAUAAAUAUAUUUGUUGGAGAAAGAUACUCUAAAUGGAGACAAACAUAAAAUGCUUGUGGAAAUAUUUAGACAUUUAACAUAAACAAUUAGAAUUGACAUUGCCCUCCAUUUGACAGAAUUUUAUCUGAAUUUACAUUACAACAGCACUAGAAGAGAAUAUUUUCCCUAUUAAAAAGAUUAUGGUCUAUAGAAAAAGAACCAACUGAAAAUGCAAUUAACCAUAAUUUGAAACUUGAAGACAAUUUCAGGCAUUUUUAUGGGAAAAAACACUAAAUUUUUAAACAAAAUACUAUUAAUAAAGAGAAUUAGAGAAAUUAUAUAAGCACACAAGUAUUGUUACCUGCUUUUAAAAUUUUUAAUGUUCAGGUAAUGAUAUAAAGGAGGUUUAUUUAUUAAAAUGUUUAUUUAAUGUAUACUAGUGUAAUAG
rnacentral:lncRNA from 10 species